AGAGUUUGAUCAUGGCUCAGAACGAACGCUGGCGGCGUGCUUAACACAUGCAAGUCGAACGAGAAAGUUCCUUCGGGAACGAGUAAAGUGGCGCACGGGUGAGUAACGCGUAGAUAACCUGUCCAGGUGUAUGGGAUAGCCCUUCGAAAGGGGGAUUAAUACCGUAUACGUUGGUCUUCUUUAAGGAGGAUCAAGAAAGGUGGCCUCUAUUUAUAAGCUAUCGCAUUUGGAGGGGUCUGUGUACCAUUAGUUUGUUGGUGGGGUAAUGGCCUACCAAGACUUCGAUGGUUAGCGGGUCUGAGAGGAUGAUCCGUCACACUGGCACUGAAACACGGGCCAGACUCCUACGGGAGGCAGCAGUGAGGAAUAUUGCGCAAUGGGGGAAACCCUGACGCAGCGACGCCGCGUGGGUGAGGAAGGCUUUCGGGUCGUAAAGCCCUGUCAGAAGGGAAGAAAUGUUUACAGGAUAAUACCCUGUAGAUUUGACGGUACCUUCAAAGGAAGCACCGGCUAACUCCGUGCCAGCAGCCGCGGUAAUACGGAGGGUGCAAGCGUUGUUCGGAAUCACUGGGCGUAAAGGGCGCGCAGGCGGUUUGAUUAGUCAGAUGUGAAAGCCCACGGCUUAACCGUGGAAGUGCAUUUGAAACUGUCAGACUUGAGUACCAGAGGGGGUUGUGGAAUUCCCGGUGUAGAGGUGAAAUUCGUAGAUAUCGGGAGGAAUACCGGUGGCGAAGGCGACAACCUGGCUGGAUACUGACGCUGAGGCGCGAAAGCGUGGGGAGCAAACAGGAUUAGAUA
rnacentral:rRNA from 1 species